CGAACCAUGGAACCUCUUUUCAUUGGGGGAUAUGUUGCUGCAAUUCGCGCACCAGGUGCAUCCUCCUGGUGGUCAGUCGUUGCGGUCUCUAUAUCUCGAACCUUAUUAUUCUCCAAAACCCUUGUACACGCUACCUUUCAGUUUUGGCAUAAACAUCUUCUUCCGAGUCCUGAGAAGGAGAGGGAUACUUAGCACACCCUGCACAUUUCGCCCCCUCCCUCUUCCUCCUCCGUCGAAGAAAGAAACCAUGGGUACUUUUGGUCACUGCACUUUGCGCUCGGACGACAUCGUCAUCAAAUCUCCGAACGAUAGGCGGCUAUACAGGCUUAUUGAGCUCGAGAAUGGGCUCCGGGCCCUUCUGGUUCACGACCCUGAGAUUUACCCAGAUGGGCCUCCUAUAACCCUCGAGGACAAGGAAGAAAUAGAGGAGUGCGAUGAGGAUGGUGAUGAAAGCGAAGGAGAGGACGAGGACGAGGACGAUGACAGUGAAGAGGAGGAAGAAGAAGAAGAGGAGGAGGAAGGUGAAGAGGAGGACCAUGAAGUUAAAGGGCAAGGAAAGAAAGGUGCUUCUUCUCAGACUAAGAAGGCAGCGGCAGCAAUGUGUGUAGGAAUGGGCAGCUUCUCUGAUCCUUUCGAGGCACAGGGGCUUGCACAUUUUCUAGAACACAUGCUUUUCAUGGGGAGUGCUGAAUUUCCAGAUGAAAAUGAGUAUGAUAGUUACUUGUCCAAGCAUGGAGGCUGUUCAAAUGCAUACACAGAAACUGAGCAUACCUGCUACCAUUUUGAAGUGAAAAGAGAGUUUCUCAAGGGUGCCUUGACAAGAUUUUCUCAGUUCUUUGUUUCACCUCUUGUGAAAAUUGAAGCCAUGGAAAGAGAGGUACUUGCUGUAGAUUCAGAAUUCAACCAGGUCCAGCAAAAUGAUGCUUGCCGUCGUCAACAACUUCAAUGCCAUACAUCAGCACCUGGUCACCCUUUUAAUAGAUUUUUUUGGGGCAAUAAGAAGAGCCUGGUUGAUGCCAUGGAAAAAGGGAUCGAUUUGCGGGAACAAAUAUUGAAAUUGUACAGAGAUCACUACCAUGGUGGAUUAAUGAAGCUUGUUGUCAUUGGUGGAGAGUCACUGGAUGUCCUUGAGAGUUGGGUUAAGGAAUUGUUUGUUAAUGUCAGAAAAGGUUCUCAAGCAAAUCUGGAGUUUAAGGCAGAAGGUCCUAUCUGGAAAGCUGGUAAACUUUAUAGGUUAGAGGCUGUCAAAGAUGUCCAUAUCCUGGACUUAACAUGGACACUGCCAUGUCUUCAUCGAGAGUAUUUGAAGAAACUGGAAGAUUAUCUAGCACAUCUCCUGGGGCAUGAGGGCAGGGGAAGCUUGCAUUUCUUUCUAAAGGCUAGAGGAUGGGCAACAGCUCUAUCCGCAGGUGUUGGGGAUGAAGGAAUGCACCGAUCAUCUAUAGCUUAUAUCUUUGCCAUGUCCAUACACCUCACUGAUUCUGGCUUGGAAAAGAUUUUCGAGAUCAUUGGCUUUGUCUAUCAGUACCUUAAGUUGUUACGUCAAGUUGCUCCACAAGAGUGGAUAUUUAAGGAACUCCAGGAUAUUGGGAACAUGGAAUUUAAAUUUGUAGAGGAGCAACCUCAGGAUGAUUAUGCUGCAGAGCUUGCAGAGAAUUUACUCUUCUAUCCAGCUGAGCAUGUUAUUUAUGGGGACUACGUAUACAAGAUAUGGGAUGAGGAAAUGAUAAAAUACGUUCUUGGUUUCUUGACACCAGAAAACAUGAGGGUUGAUGUAAUAUCAAAAGCGUUCAAGUUGCAAGAUUCACAGCAUGAGCCUUGGUUUGGGUCACAUUACACUGAGGAAGAUAUUUCUCCAUCUUUGAUGGAUUUUUGGAGGGAUGCUCCUGAAAUUGAUCUUUUAUUGCAUCUGCCCUCGAAGAAUGAGUUCAUUCCAUGUGAUUUUUCAAUUCGUGCUAAUAGUACAUGUAAUGGUCCUGCAAAUGCAUCUUCUCCAAGAUGCAUACUUGAUGAACCGCUCAUGAAGUUCUGGUACAAGCUUGAUAAUACUUUUAGAGUUCCUCGUGCAAAUACAUACUUCCGCAUAAAUUUGAAGGGGGCAUAUGAUAAUGUGAAUAACUGUCUCUUGACAGAAUUAUUUGUUCACCUUCUUAAAGAUGAGUUGAAUGAGAUUAUAUAUCAGGCCAGUAUUGCCAAGUUAGAAACUUCCGUUUCCUUUUUCAGCGAUAAGCUGGAACUGAAGGUAUAUGGGUUCAACGAAAAGCUUCCAGUUCUCUUAUCUAAAGUUUUGGUAAUAGCCAAAUCUUUUUUGCCAAGCAAUGAUCGUUUUAAGGUUAUCAAAGAAGAUAUGGAGAGAACUUUAAGAAAUACCAACAUGAAGCCUCUUAGUCAUUCAUCGUACUUGAGAUUGCAAGUGCUGUGCAAGAGUUUCUAUGAUGUAGAUGAGAAGCUAUGCGUUCUAAAGGACUUGUCUCUUGCUCAGUUGAAGGAAUUUAUCCCUGAGCUGCGUUCCCAGCUAUACAUUGAGGGACUUUGCCAUGGCAAUUUGUUAGAAGAAGAAGCAAUCAGCAUAUCAAACAUAUUUAGCACAAACUUCUCUGUGCCACCCCUACCUGUUGAAAUGAGGUAUCAGGAACAUGUUAUUGAUCUUCCCUACGGUGCCAACCUCAUUAGAGAUGUUAGUGUGAAGAAUAAGUUGGAAAGAAACUCUGUAGUUGAGCUUUAUUUUCAAAUUGAGCAUGACGUUGGGAUGGAAUCGAUCAAAUUGAAAGCUUUGAUAGACCUUUUUGAUGAAAUUGUGGAAGAACCACUUUUCAAUCAGCUGAGGACAAAGGAGCAGCUUGGGUAUGUUGUUCAAUGUAGCCCACGAGUGACAUACCGCGUUUUUGGGUUUUGUUUCAUUGUUCAAUCUUCUGAGUACAACCCUGUCUAUUUGCAAGGGAGAAUUGACAACUUCAUAAACAACUUGGAAGAAUUACUGGAUAAGCUUGAUGAUAAUUCCUUUGAGAAUUACAGAAGUGGCCUUAUGGCAAAGCUGCUGGAGAAAGACCCAUCUCUCACAUACAAAAGCAGUCGGUUCUGGAAUCAAAUUAUUGAUAAAAGGUAUAUGUUUGACUUGUCAAAGAAGGAAGCAGAGGAGCUCAAUAGCAUUCAUAAGACUGAUGUUAUCAACUGGUACAAAAUGUAUUUGCAACAAUCAUCUCCGAAGUGUCGUAGACUUGCAGUUCGGGUUUGGGGUUGCAACACCGAUAUGAAAGAGGCUGAAAUGCAACACAAGUCCGUACAGGUCAUCAAAGAUGUUACAGCCUUUAAGAUGUCAUCCAAGUUCUAUCCAAGCAUUUGUUGAAUAUUGAACAUAAGAUGAUAACGGAGUGAACUGUCAGAACGAUUGGAGUCAAGUUUUGACCACAGGUUUUAGCUGGGUUUGCAAGUGUGCAGUCUUGCACAAUUUUAUUCACGUGUGGUGGAGUACAUCAUGCUAAUGCUUUUCCUUCAUGAUCAUUUUGUUCUGGGCACCACUUCAUGGGAGGAUUUAUGUCUUAGGUGAUGCCUCAGUAAUGCCCAUUGCUGAUGGAUGGGGGGAAUAAGGGGGCAGAGACCAGAGAGAGAAUGUUACAGGUUAGGUGCAGAAUGAAAGAGUAGCGUUAGACAUCUUCUUUGAAAUUGUAGUUCAAAGAGAUUCUUGCUUACUAUUUACAUUUGGACUUAUUGUUCUGGCACAACUCUGGUUUUGAUAAUCAGAUGGGAGUCAUUAACUCAUUCAUGGAUAAACAAACAGGAUUUAUAUAAAAAGCAUAGAAGGCCUCAGCCUGGUUUUGGAAAAGUAGUGCCGAUCACUCAUUAUCCACAUGAUAAUGGAUGUAAGUGAGUUUUUUAAUCCCAAUGUGUCUAUAAUUUCUCUGCUAUAAGGAUGUAAGAUGAGAUUCUGGUCCUAUCUGAUUUCAUUCAUAUAAAGAAUUUACUGUCUUAUUUUU